UCUCUGCCCCGGGUGCGUCGCAGCCCCGGACCAAGGCGCCCGCCGGAGGACCAACCAAAACUCUUAUUGUAUACCCCCUCGCGGGUUUUUUUAUAAUCUGAGCCUUCUCGGCGCCUCUCGUAGGCGUUUCGAAAAUGAAUCAAAACUUUCAACAACGGAUCUCUUGGUUCUGGCAUCGAUGAAGAACGCAGCGAAAUGCGAUAAGUAAUGUGAAUUGCAGAAUUCAGUGAAUCAUCGAAUCUUUGAACGCACAUUGCGCCCGCCAGUAUUCUGGCGGGCAUGCCUGUCCGAGCGUCAUUUCAACCCUCGAACCCCUCCGGGGGGUCGGCGUUGGGGAUCGGCCCUCCCUUAGCGGGGUGGCCGUCUCCGAAAUACAGUGGCGGUCUCGCCGCAGCCUCUCCUGCGCAGUAGUUUGCACACUCGCAUCGGGAGCGCGGCGCGUCCACAGCCGUUAAACACCCAACUUCUGAAAUGUUGACCUCGGAUCAGGUAGGAAUACC
rnacentral:rRNA from 2 species